rnacentral:sRNA from 2 species
CAAGACCCCUUUUGUGCAGUCUUCCGCCACAAUUGAACAAGGGUCCGCAAAAUCUGUGCCAACGAACAGGUCGCACUUGGAACGCCCGCGUCGCGUGAAAUCCACGAGCUGCCGUCCGUGUAGCCACUGCUGACAGGAAAGCGAUUUCUCGUCGCAGUCAUAAGUUUAGGCUACAGCAACCGCUAUUGUCAGCUGAUCGAUGAGCAUCGGGUCCGUUGUGGAAAUUAUCAGCAGGAAAAAUCUGUAUUUCAAACACAAAAUAAACUGUAGAUUAAUGCA